AUCCUUUAGAUUGCAAGGUUUUCCUUCUCCAUUUUCAGUCUCUUACCUGGUGAUUAUUCCCAUCUCAGCCCCAGGGGCCUAAUCCUUUGCAGCUUUCUCACAGUAGGCCUAUUACAUGCUUCCUUGGCACCACACACCCUUCCUAAUUUACAGCACUCAGCCGUCUCUCUUCCUUACUUUAUGGAAUGAGAACCAAACCUCUUUAUAUCUCUUGGCUCACCGGAGAACUCCAAAAAAGCUAAGUGCAUGAAAGAAGUGGAAAAGGGGCUAACAGAACAAAACCACCAGGCCAACAAUUGUGACUCUGUAAAUAUGACUGGAAAUCUGCAUGUGUAUUUUUUUAGGGGGGGUGUUUGUCUUUUGUCCUUUUUUUAGGGCCGCACCCUUGGCAUAUGGAGGUUCCCAGGCUAGAGGUCUAAUCGGAGCUGUAGUUGCCAGCCUAUGCCAGAGCCACAGCAACGCCAGAUCUGAGCCGCAUCUGCAACCUACACCAGAGCUCACGGCAAUGCCGGAUCCUUAACCCACUGAGCAAGGCCAGGGAUUGAAGCCACAACUUUAUGGUUCCUAGUUGGAUUCGUUUCCGCUGUGCCACCGCGGGAACUCCUGCAUGUGUUUGUUGAUUGACAGCUCCCCCAAACGACCACAGCCAGAGUCUGUUGUUCAAGCAAAGCAGUUUAUUAGUUGCUGCAAUAUGGAAGGAGACCACCUUGACCACAUCUUAGUAUUAGUGUGAAAGGGAAUGGUUAGGGCAGAUCUGUGUAGGGGUCUAGAUACAGUUUUGAGUGGUUUAAGGUAGGCUUUUCAGUGUGGGGAUUCCAAUGGACAAAGUUCAUGAUUUAAUAGUUUCAGGCUCAUAGAUGCAGAAAGGUAAGGGUUCUAGAGCAAGUCAUGCUUUGUAAGUCUGCCCCAGAAAGCACCGUGUUUACCUGAGAAAGGGGCUGGUUGAGUAGUCCACUGUUUCAAAAUAGAUUUUCAGGAAGCUCUUGCCGUAAACACUGAAGAUAUCUACUGGGAAAGAAUAUGUUGGAAUGAAUAUAAAGUCAUGUUCAUGCAGGCUUAGUUCUGAUACUUAAGUUAUAAGGUUGCUGGCAGCUCCUCAAUCCCCAAACCCAGUGUCCUACGACUGAGUACACAAAGGCAUGUGGUUUGUCUGACCUUUAUGUACUGAAUGAAGAGACAGCGCUUUACAACAGUUGCUUGUAUGAUGGGAUUGUCAAAUCUGGGGAAAUCUGUAGACAUUUCCCUCCCUGGAUCCUGCUUUCCUUCCUCUUGAAUUUAUGCCAUAAAACCUUAUUAUUUAAAACACUAACAUCCUGGAGUUUCCAUUGUGGCUCAGCAGGUUAAGGACCUGAUGUUGUCUCCCUGAGGAUGAGGGCUUGAUCUUUGGCCUCACUCAGUGGGUUAAGGAUCCAGUGUUGCCUUAAGCUUCAGCGUAGGUUGUAGAUGCAGCUCAGAUCCAGGGCUGUGGUGCAGGCCCUGGCUGCAGCUCAAAUUUGACUCCUGGCCUGGUAACUUCCAUGUGCUACAGGUAAGGCUGUAAAAAGAAAAAUAAAGUAAAAUAAAAUACGAACAUCCCAACAGCAAGUCCUGAAUUUAAGAUAUGGAUUGGUGAUGUUUCUCUCUUUUUAUCUUUGCUCUGACUUUGUUAUUUUUGUUUUUGUUUGUUUUUUGUCUUUUUGCUAUUUCUUUGGGCUGCUCCCGAGCCUGGGAACCCCUAUAUGCCAUGGGUGUGGCCCUAAAAAUACAAAAAAAAAAAAAAAAGAAAAAAAAAAGAAAUUGAAUGUUCUGAUCACUGUUCUUAAUAUCUUAAAAUUGUAUAGUGUAAUUUCUCCAAUUUUAUUAUUCUUUUCCAAAGUUGCUUUUACUGUUCUAAUUGCUUUUCCACGUACAUUUUAGAGCUAGUGUAUAUGUACAAAAGACAAUCAUAAUGGGAUUGAGAUUGGAAUUUAGUCAAAUCCUUAGAUAAUUUUGAGAAAAGUUAACAUUUUAACUAUGUUGAGUCUUUCAACCCAUGGAUGUGGUAUGUCUCUCCAUCUACUUAGAUCUUCCUUGAUGAUCUUCACUGAUAAUUUUUAUCAUAUGGAUUCUGCUCUUUUCUUAGAUAUCUACAUAAUUAUGUCAUUUUUGGAGCUAUUUAAACUAUAUAUAUGUGAAUAUAUAUGUGUGUGUGUAUAUAUAUAUGCUGCAUAUAUGGCAUAUGGAAGUUCCCAAACUAGGGGUUGAAUCAUAGCUCCAGCUGCCGGCCUGUGCCACAGCCACAACACCAGAUCUGAGCCAUGACUGCCACUUACAUCACAGCUCGUGGCAAUGGCAGAUCCUUAACCCACUGAGCAGGGGCCAGGGAUUGAACCCGCAUCCUUAUGGACAGUAGUCAGGUUCAUUACUGCUAAGCCAUAAUGGGAACUCCUAUAUUUUUUAAAAAAUUUAUUGCUAAUAGUAUAUAGAAAUAUGAUUGAUUUUUUCAAAUGUUAAUUUUGUAUCCUGUGACCUUGAUAAACUAAUUUAUUACUCCUAAUAAAUGAGUAUAUUCUUUGCAAAUUUCUACAUAGACUAUCAUCUUCUAUGUAAAUGAGCAGAAACUUCCUUCCACUAUCAGGGGUUUGGUAACAACCUAUUGAAAAAUCAGACAAAAAUUUCAAGUCAUGUAAAACAAAGCUGGAUUUUUCUGGUCCUCUUCUUUUUCAUUUUUGUCUUCCUGAUUUAAACUCCUUCUGGAUUACUUGCAUGUUUUCUUCUUCUUCUUCUUCUUUUUUUAAUCUGCAUGUUUUCCCUCCCAUGCCUCUAACCAUAGGGCCUUUUGAAUCAAUACUUUCCCAAUGAAAUAGUCUUAUGGCAAAAGUGGUU
rnacentral:lncRNA from 1 species